rnacentral:rRNA from 1 species
UACGUAGGGUGCAAGCGUUAAUCGGAAUUACUGGGCGUAAAGCGUGCGCAGGCGGUCUUGCAAGGCAGAUGUGAAAUCCCCGGGCUUAACCUGGGAACUGCAUUUGUGACUGCAAGGCUGGAGUGCGGCAGAGGGGGAUGGAAUUCCGCGUGUAGCAGUGAAAUGCGUAGAUAUGCGGAGGAACACCGAUGGCGAAGGCAAUCCCCUGGGCCUGCACUGACGCUCAUGCACGAAAGCGUGGGGAGCAAACAGG